UACGGUAGGGUGCAAGCGUUGUCCGGAAUUAUUGGGCGUAAAGAGCUCGUAGGCGGUUUGUCGCGUCUGCGUGUGAAAACCCGAGGCUCAACCUCGGGCCUGCAGUGGGUACGGGCAGACUAGAGUGCGGUAGGGGAGAUUGGAAUUCCUGGUGUAGCGGUGGAAUGCGCAGAUAUCAGGAGGAACACCAAUGGCGAAGGCAGAUCUCUGGGCCGUAACUGACGCUGAGGAGCGAAGACAUGGGGAGCGAACAGG
rnacentral:rRNA from 1 species